rnacentral:rRNA from 1 species
UACGUAGGGUGCAAGCGUUGUCCGGAAUUAUUGGGCGUAAAGAGCUCGUAGGCGGUCUGUCGCGUCGGAUGUGAAAUCCAGGGCUCAACCCUGGACCUGCAUUCGAUACGGGCAGACUAGAGUUCGGCAGGGGAGACUGGAAUUCCUGGUGUAGCGGUGAAAAUGCGCAGAUAUCAGGAGGAACACCGGUGGCGAAGGCGGCAUCCUGGACCAACACUGACGCUGAGUGAGC